GCUAUACAUGCAAGUCGAGCGAAUCUGAGGGAGCUUGCUCCCAAAGAUUAGCGGCGGACGGGUGAGUAACACGUGGGCAACCUGCCUGUAAGACUGGGAUAACUUCGGGAAACCGGAGCUAAUACCGGAUAAUCCUUUUCUACUCAUGUAGAAAAGCUGAAAGAUGGCUUCGGCUAUCACUUACAGAUGGGCCCGCGGCGCAUUAGCUAGUUGGUGAGGUAACGGCUCACCAAGGCGACGAUGCGUAGCCGACCUGAGAGGGUGAUCGGCCACACUGGGACUGAGACACGGCCCAGACUCCUACGGGAGGCAGCAGUAGGGAAUCUUCCGCAAUGGACGAAAGUCUGACGGAGCAACGCCGCGUGAGUGAUGAAGGUUUUCGGAUCGUAAAACUCUGUUGUUAGGGAAGAACAAGUACCGUUCGAAUAGGGCGGUACCUUGACGGUACCUAACCAGAAAGCCACGGCUAACUACGUGCCAGCAGCCGCGGUAAUACGUAGGUGGCAAGCGUUGUCCGGAAUUAUUGGGCGUAAAGCGCGCGCAGGUGGUUUCUUAAGUCUGAUGUGAAAGCCCCCGGCUCAACCGGGGAGGGUCAUUGGAAACUGGGAGACUUGAGUGCAGAAGAGGAAAGUGGAAUUCCAAGUGUAGCGGUGAAAUGCGUAGAGAUUUGGAGGAACACCAGUGGCGAAGGCGACUUUCUGGUCUGUAACUGACACUGAGGCGCGAAAGCGUGGGGAGCGAACAGGAUUAGAUACCCUGGUAGUCCACGCCGUAAACGAUGAGUGCUAAGUGUUAGAGGGUUUCCGCCCUUUAGUGCUGCAGCAAACGCAUUAAGCACUCCGCCUGGGGAGUACGGCCGCAAGGCUGAAACUCAAAGGAAUUGACGGGGGCCCGCACAAGCGGUGGAGCAUGUGGUUUAAUUCGAAGCAACGCGAAGAACCUUACCAGGUCUUGACAUCCUCUGACAAUCCUAGAGAUAGGACGUUCCCCUUCGGGGGACAGAGUGACAGGUGGUGCAUGGUUGUCGUCAGCUCGUGUCGUGAGAUGUUGGGUUAAGUCCCGCAACGAGCGCAACCCUUGAUCUUAGUUGCCAGCAUUCAGUUGGGCACUCUAAGGUGACUGCCGGUGACAAACCGGAGGAAGGUGGGGAUGACGUCAAAUCAUCAUGCCCCUUAUGACCUGGGCUACACACGUGCUACAAUGGAUGGUACAAAGGGCUGCAAGACCGCGAGGUUUAGCCAAUCCCAUAAAACCAUUCUCAGUUCGGAUUGCAGGCUGCAACUCGCCUGCAUGAAGCCGGAAUCGCUAGUAAUCGCGGAUCAGCAUGCCGCGGUGAAUACGUUCCCGGGCCUUGUACACACCGCCCGUCACACCACGAGAGUUUGUAACACCCGAAGUCGGUGGGGUAACCGCAAGGAGCCAGCCGCCUAAGUG
rnacentral:rRNA from 1 species